rnacentral:rRNA from 1 species
GACGAACGCUGGCGGCGUGCCUCAAACAUGCAAGUCGAGCGGACGGAGACCGAACCGCAAGGGGAGGUCGAAGUUAGCGGCGAACGGGUGAGUAACACGUGGGUAACCUACCCUAAAGUCUGGGACAACGGCCCGAAAGGGCCGCUAAUACCGGAUAAUGUCUUCGGGUCGCAUGGCCUGGGGAAGAAAGCCGAAAGGCGCUUAUGGAUGGGCUCGCGUCCCAUCAGCUAGUUGGUAAGGUAACGGCUUACCAAGGCGACGACGGGUAGCCGGUCUGAGAGGAUGGUCGGCCACACUGGGACUGAGAUACGGCCCAGACUCCUACGGGAGGCAGCAGUUGGGAAUAUUGGGCAAUGGGCGAAAGCCUGACCCAGCGACGCCGCGUGAGGGAAGAAGGCCUUCGGGUCGUAAACCUCUGUCAUCGGGGACGAAGAAAGUGACGGUACCCGAGGAGGAAGCCCCUGCUAACUACGUG